GGGGGGGCGGGGGGGAAGGUGUGCGUAUAUGAGGAUGACGACCAGACGGCGAGAGGCAACGAGAGAUUUCUGAUAUGAAGCUAAUCUCCAACUGUUAAAGGAACAAGCCGCAAUGUGGUUCAUUAGAGACUGGAAUUCAUUGGGUAUAGGCAUACUUCUGCGCCACCUGUUCCAAUAUGCGCAGCCCGGUGAAGGCUGCUGUCUCUGGAUGUUUCCAGGAAAAAAAUUAAGUAAGCUUUGUGUAUUUUAAUUUAUUUAUUUAUUUAUUUUAAUUGCAGGAUGCAUUCUGGGUACACAUUUGUUGUUUGCUGAUGCCGGUCCCAUAUCAGUAAGCUCUGAGUAUCCCUACUGAGCGCUGAGGCUUUGAACAGCUCACCAGCUCUGUUGCCGUGACGCUGCUGACUGUCGCCGGGUUAUAUGGAGACUCCCUUACCGCACGGGGCGCGAGCGUGCGUCCGACGUGCCCGGCCCGGGUUCGUCCGCAGCCGUGCAGGGGGCACCGAGCUCUGCGCCCUCAGAUCUUCAGUGGGAUCAAUGGACCCAGUCCAUCUGAGCAGAAUGACCAGGGUCAGCAUCAAAGGCCCCCGGUCUGUGCCCAGGCCACCUGGAGCUGGGCUGGGGUCAUGGGGCCGGCCCCCUGCCCGCUCCACUUCCCCCUCUCCCCCGGCCCGCUCCCCUGGGCAGACCAUGGGCACUGCGCAGGAAAACAGCCAAUGUGUGAUCUCUCGUGCCCCCAUGGUGGGGGUCAGAGGUUAACCACACCAGACCACUGCCUGGUCGCAGAUGCACUUCAGGAAGUUUCAUUUUGUUUUAUUUAUCAUUUUGUUUAAAAAAAAAAUAAAACAAGGAAACAGACUUUUGACAACAUUUUUUUUCCUUCUCCCCUCUCCACCUUUGUUCAGGGCAAUAAAUAUUUGUGAAAAGAAUUAAAGACAGAAUGCAAAACAUUGGGUGUGAAGAUCGAGUUCACGGUAAGACUUUUAUUUUUGGAUUAAUGGUUAAAGCUACAGACAUUUAGACAAAUAGUGCAUGGAUAUUUUAGAGCUUUUGUGAGUUGAGCAGAUGAAAAUGUACAACCUGCUCUAACAAUGACUCUAUAAACCUGUGACCUUACAUUUGUAAAAUUUAAAUUGGUUGUGUAUGACAGUGAAAAAGGACUGUUAUGAUGAUUGCCCAGUCAACACAAUGUUAAGAAAAUAUGUGGCAAGUAAAGCUAGAAGGCUCAGUGCCUGUUUGAAUCAAACCUUUGUAUUUGCAAAGAUUUUUUAUUUAUGAUUCAGCAAAGUGAUAAAAGGAGAUGGUAAUUAUUGGGGAAAAGAGUUAUUUUCACGUAUACCAGGGCUGUCAGUUCUAUUCAAAUGCAACAGUAUUUGACAUCAAUAUUGACAUCACUGCCAUUGAUCAGUUGUCAUUUUGGUGAAGAUGUUCCUAUGAAGUACUGAAGAAGUAAAGUCAUUACGUCUGUAAAGGCACUGAAAACAGUAACAUUCAAUCAUUCAAGUAAAUGUUCUUGACAAAAAUGGGGCGUAUGCGUCUUUUCACUGUGUUUCUCUAACAUUGCGACAGCGUUGUUUUAACAGUUUUUAUUUUGCAGGUGUGUACAUUUGCAGUGUCGGGACCACAUACAGUGUAUUAAAGACCACUCUCGCGCCAACCAAAAUGCUGCUGUAUUUGCAAGUAUCCAAUUUCCAAUUAUUUAUUCAUAAAUACCAUCUAUUUUACUUAUUUGUUUAUUUUGAUCUUAUUUGAUGACAUUUUUAAUUAUGUGACAAUUUUAUUGUAAGUAGGUAUUACUCAGAUUUGUAACUUCCCAGAAAGCUCCCUGUUCAUUUUUAUGAAAUAUCGUCUUAAAAUCCACUCAGAGAACAUCCCCCCUCCCAAUAUAUCCCCAACAAAUGUGAAGAAGAAUAAAAAGGGAAGGAGAGAGAGAGAGAGAAGGGGGGGAGGAGGGGGAAAGGUCUGAUGAAUUUGGCAAGGAACAGACGGAGGGGGAGACAGAUGGCGCGAAGUCUGCAGCUCCAGCGAUGUUCACAUGGUGCUAAAAUCCUCCUCUCUCACAUUCCAACAAAUCCAAGCAAGAGGCUCACAAGUGCGCCUCCAUCACCAAUUCGCUCGGUCUGUAGGGCCCCUGGCACUUUCCACUCAUCUAUGACCAACUAGGGGAAGAAAAACUGCUGUCAUCACUCCAUAAUGUAUCUACACAUAUAAAUCCUUUUUUUUCCCUCCUCUCUCUUUUUUUUUUGGUGUGUCUGGAUCCAUUUACAGGUUUAUUAGCCCACGGGGGUAAGGGGUUUCGGAGAUUGAUAGACAGGGAGGGGACGAUUGUCGAAAAAAAAAGCCUCCCGAAAGAAUGGGGAAAAGGACCCAGGGUGGCGCCGGAGUGUAAAAUCUCGUUGAGUAAACACAGGGCCAAGGCAUGACUGAGAAGGCCGCCGAUUCCGUUCGCAUCGGAGGAGGAGAAACAUAAGGAGCUUUCAAUUAGUUUCGCUCCCAAUGGCAUGCGCCGCUGCUCCUGACGAGCGGCUCCCGGCUCCGCGAGCGCCCGCUCUGUUGUGCGUGCGCGUCUCUGUUUAUACAACACAAAGUUAUCUCAUGACAAAUUAAAGAAGUGCAAAGAUGAAAUUUUUGGACGUUCAUCCGUGUUUGCGGAGACCUCUUAGUGGCGCGGGGAUUUUUUUUUCUUUCUUUCUUUUUCUUCUUCUUCUUUUUCCCCCCCUCUCUGCUGUGAAAACAGACGCGCGAAACAUUGGAGAUGGCUCCUGACUGCUUGACCUGGCAUUGGCUGGUGUGAAACGCGUUGGAGCCCGGCAGAGUUGGGAGAGUUUAGUGUUGUGAGCACCUGCGUGGAUGGUGAUAGUGGGCUUGUGCGACGUCGCUGAGGCGCAGAAUACCACGGUGGUGACAUUCCCUCUCCCUCGCCAAACUCCGUUACCAAGUUCUGUCACAUGACAGGACAAAAGUGAAGGGGAGUUUAAAGAAGAAGAAGAAUGAAGUGAAACGUUCACGUGCAGGAGGAGGAGAGGGCCUGGCACACGUGGCGAUGGGGCUCAUUCAAUGCAGAGGUUAAACUCCGCUAAUGGGCCAGAGACAACAUGGAUCGUUCAGGCCCAACUCGGGGACGUCAUUUUAAGAACGUGAGGAUACCGGUAGAUUCUGAGAUUGGAGCCAAGUAGGCGAGAAGCUAAACAGAGGAGUAGCCUACUGCAGCUGGAAAAAUAUUGAGGGACAUCCAGGGGUUCCCAAACUUGCUGGCAUACAACUCCCUUAAUGCGUUGAUAAACUUUGUGACACACCACUUAGCUUAAGCAUUAACCCACCUCAAGCCCUCAAACAUAAAAUUUGCACUAUUCCACCCAGCUCUGAUCCUAAUCUCGUGUGCCCCCCCUACCCCCACCACGCACACACAUACACGCACUGUGCCCCACAUCUACACUAUCUUCAUCUCUCUAUUUUUACAGGGUUCAAGAAUGAUGGUGUCCACCAAAUGACUCUGCCAAUGUAGAUACGGAAAACCCCAGUUC